UACCAGGAUGCAGUUGACAUCCACAAUGAGCUGUUGAUCAUAGAGACCUACAAGGUUUCCCAACAGAAGACAGAUUUCUGUCAGAGCAUUUGAUGAGCCACCAAAGACUAAUGAUGGAUGCAGAACCUGAGGAUAGAAUCAGCUCAUUGCACUCACCAGGGUCCCAGAUGAAACUAUAUUGGCAAAAUGAACAAGAGUGCUGCUUUCAUGAUGAACCUGGUAUCAACACAAAGCUGCUUUUGGUCGGGUGAUUUCUACAAGCAAUGUGAACCUGACUGCAACAGUAAUAUUGAUACCAGCAGUGAUCAUUUGCUGCCAGACACCUGACUAUGUGGCUUUGGCCUUUUGGAGCUAAUCUUCAAGAGGAAUGUGAGAGGAUUUGAAACCUUGGCCUAAGAGAUGCCUUGCAGUGCAUCAGCUUGAUGGACUAUUCUGGUCAGAGUUGAAAGACAUGAAUGCAGUAAGAACUAUGGACUGUGGGUUUUGGGUUAUGUGGGUGAUAAAGAGCUUUGCUUGGACUGGUAUAGAAGCAGUUCAUGUGAGAGGCUUGCUGUUAUGCCCAUGACCUGAGAACUUGUGUAGCAUUGCAGUGCAUAGAAAUGGACUGGCGUAUGCAGAGAAAGAAAUGGAAACUUUUGUCUGAAACUUCUUCCCAUUCAGCUGCAAUUGUAUAAGAUAUUACAACCAUUGAGAGAUUAUGCCAGCUGAAGGAGUAUACUGUUCUUCAAAGUCUGCUUUACCCCCACCCUCCUGGAUCAACAAAUUGGCACACCACCUAGUAUUACUGGGUAUAGGAAAUGCAGGAAAGAGAGGGCUAUUGCAUUUGCAACAAGGUCUUGUGUUUUGGAAACUGCCAUUACAGUGUGAAGCAGGUUUGCUGGAUUGCCUGCAUGGAGACCCAA